GACGAACGCUGGCGGCGUGCUUAACACAUGCAAGUCGAACGGAAAGGCCCUGCUUUUGUGUGGUGCUCGAGUGGCGAACGGGUGAGUAACACGGGAGUAACCUGCCCUUGACUUUGGGAUAACUUCAGGAAACUGGGGCUAAUACCGGAUAGGAGCUCCUGCUGCAUGGUGGGGGUUGGAAAGUUUCGGCGGUUGGGGAUGGACUCGCGGCUUAUCAGCUUGUUGGUGGGGUAGGGGCUUACCAAGGCUUUGACGGGUAGCCGGCCUGAGAGGGUGACCGGCCACAUUGGGACUGAGAUACGGCCCAGACUCCUACGGGAGGCAGCAGUGGGGAAUAUUGCACAGUGGGCGGAAGCCUGAUGCAGAAACGCCGCGUGCGGGAUGACGGCCUUCGGGUUGUAAACCGCUUUCGCCUGUGACGAAGCGUGAGUGACGGUAAUGGGUAAAGAAGCACCGGCUAACUACGUG
rnacentral:rRNA from 1 species